UAUUCUCCAACAGCCUCUCUCGGCAGCUCUCUCAAUCCCAUCUCUCCCUCUCACGCACAUACGGUGCCACUCUCAACAUGAUGGUCCUCUUCUUCUCCGGCGAAGACCCUAAUACAAUAGGGUAAACCAGAUCGAAAACUUUUACCCUUUAGGUUUCGAACUACCCAAAUAAACCACUUUAUUUCCCUACUGGUUUGAUUCAUAAUGGGAAGGUUUUGAAGGAUGAAACUACUUUUGCUGAUAAUAAAGUCUCCGAAGAUGGCUUUCUGGUUGUCAUGCUUAGCAAGAGCAAGUCUUUGGGUUCAACCGGUGUUUCGUCUGCUUAGCCGGCUUCAUCAGCUCCCUAUACAAUUGCACCUGCUUUUAAUUCUACACUACACCUGCUGCUGUACACG